rnacentral:rRNA from 1 species
AUUGAACGCUGGCGGCAUGCCUUACACAUGCAAGUCGAACGGUAACGGGCCUUCGGGCGCCGACGAGUGGCGAACGGGUGAGUAAUGCAUCGGAACGUACCUUUCAGUGGGGGAUAACGUAGCGAAAGUUACGCUAAUACCGCAUAUUCUGUGAGCAGGAAAGCAGGGGAUCGCAAGACCUUGCGCUGAUUGAGCGGCCGAUGUCAGAUUAGCUAGUUGGUGAGGUAAAGGCUCACCAAGGCGACGAUCUGCAGCGGGUCUGAGAGGAGGAUCCGCCACACUGGAACUGAGACACGGUCCAGACUCCUACGGGAGGCAGCAGUGGGGAAUUUUGGACAAUGGGGGCAACCCUGAUCCAGCCAUGCCGCGUGAGUGAAGAAGGCCUUCGGGUUGUAAAGCUCUUUCGGCCGGGAAGAAAUCGUAUGGGCUAAUACCCUGUGCGGAUGACGGUACCGGCAUAAGAAGCACCGGCUAACUACGUGCCAGCAGCCGCCGUAAGAC